rnacentral:sRNA from 1 species
GUUUCGCGUUAGGGAUAGUAGCGGAAAGCCCACAGCGACCCCGAAGCUUCGGGGGAGCGAGGACUUGCAGCGAAUAGCCCGACCCGAC